CUUGUGAUCUGCCCGCCUCGGCCUCCCAAAGUACUGGGAUUACAGGCGUGAGCCACCGCGCCCGGCUGGGUGACUUCUUUUGGAAACCACUUUUGACCCCUAAUUUAGUCCAGAACUCAGAUUAUAAUGUUUUAAUAAAGUUGUGUGUGUGUGUGUGUGUGUGUGUGUGUGUGUGUGUGUGUAUAGUAUCUGCACUAUCCAGAUCAUGGUUGUUAUAGUUGUGAUGCUUAUAGUGUUAAUUUGAGGAAAAUAACUUUCUUAGACAAAUGAACACCUCCCUUUGUUUUUUUACAGAAGAUGGCCUGUUUCAAAGGUGUGUGCCCCUGGAUGUUGGGGUCACCAUUUUUCUCUCUUUCAGGAGCAUGGAAGUUAAAAGGAAAAAUAAGGGGGAAUAUGAGAAGUCAACUGACUUGAAACUGAGCUAGUGGGACAGUCUGUCAUUAUGUGCCUUCUGAUGUGAUGCAGUAAGAAAUACAUAUCACCUACAUAGUGUCUGUGCCAAGGUGUUUAACCUGAAUUUGAUCAUUUAAAAAAAUCAGAUGAAUUCAAUACACAGGACAUGCUACAAGCCAGCUGGCCUGAACUCUUCAAAAGAAGGCAGUCACAUGAGAAAACAAAAAUGGAGAGGGUGAGCUGUUUCUAAUUAUAAGAGGCAAAAAAGACAGAAUAGCCAAAUGCAAUGAGUAAAAUUUAUUCAAACACAGAUAUAUAAGGGAAAAAGACAUACUUGGGGGGGCAAUUGGGUACAUUUUAAUAUAGACUAUAAUGACAAUAUUGACUCCUUGUUAUUCUUAUAUAUAAUAAAUCCCUGUUAGUAGUA